rnacentral:rRNA from 1 species
UGAACGCUAGCGACAGGCCUAACACAUGCAAGUCGAGGGGCAGCACAAGGAGCAAUCUGAGGUGGCGACCGGCGCACGGGUGAGUAACACGUAUGCAACCUGCCUGUAAGCGGGGAAUAACCCGUUGAAAGACGGACUAAUACCGCAUAAUACUAAAUUACUGCAUGGUAAUUUAUUUAAACAUUUAUGGCUUACAGAUGGGCAUGCGCAUGAUUAGCUAGUUGGAGAGGUAACGGCUCCCCAAGGCAACGAUCAUUAGGGGUUCUGAGAGGAAGGUCCCCCACACUGGUACUGAGACACGGACCAGACUCCUACGGGAGGCAGCAGUGAGGAAUAUUGGUCAAUGGACGAGAGUCUGAACCAGCCAAGUCGCGUGCAGGAAGAACGUCCUUAAUGGAUUGUAAACUGCUUUUGCAGGGGAAUAAAGUGCAUCACGUGUGAUGUUUUGUAUGUACUCUGCGAAUAAGGAUCGGCUAACUCCGUGCCAGCCGCAGC